rnacentral:lncRNA from 1 species
GACCCUAGGCAUCUUGCAUGGAGGAGUCACUAGAGCUAAAGGAAAUUCGAUGGAGAACCAACUUCCCCCAACCCCUGACUUUCUUCAUUAUGAUGAACUCUUGGAUGGUAAUGAAUAAAAGAAAAUAUUUUUGGAUUUUUGUUUUUGGAGAAAAGGAUGGUUAAGAAAUGGAGAGGAGAAUGGGUUUCUUGCUGGUUGGUUGAGUGCACAAGAGUGUGAGUGUGUUUGGAUGAAGGUGGGAGUAAGGGGAAAUGCUGUUGUGGAUUUAUGGAGGUCGGUCGACCUUCAUUUCUGGGG